rnacentral:rRNA from 1 species
AUGUCUACGCCAACGACGAUGGGGAUUUUGUCACCGGCGGAUCGGAGCCACGACUCCUCUCUGAUCUCUGCAGAGAAAUCAACUCCGAAAUGCGGCGCCAGCGCGACCUUUCCCGCAGUCGCCCCUCCCUUCCUCCAUCAGCCACCGCCUCCACCCAGCGAGGACACCGAGCAGGCAGUGCGUAUUGAGGCCCCACCACCGCCAAGGCCUUUUCCACCUGUUUCUUCACUGAUGCCAACAAGAUUGCUCAUUAAAUAUUUUCUGAGGGUUGAUGCUGAUGGACUCUUUCACACAUAUCCUCGUCGAGGUGGUCCGUUUAAGAGCUUGAAAGAAGCUCAGGAUGCUAUAGACUCCCAUCACGCUAAUCUGUGUAAAUUCAAGUACAUGGGGGAUCUUUCAGAGGAGGAUGUCCAUGUGUGGCAGACCCUGUACUGGCCUAAUGGUACAAGGAUGAAUUCCAAACAAGCUUUGGAUGUGAUGAUGAACCGUCGCCCCAAAUGGGAUGUACUUAACGCUUUACUGGACAAGUACAAUGAGGACCAUCAUCUUUUUGGGGAUUUUGCAUAUGAAUUGAAGGAAAUUGUGAGUUACAAACCACAUUUUCAGGGAAGAAACUCUCCAUACAAAUGCAGAUCAUUCUCUCACUUAAAUUUGAUUGUCAAGAGUGGGUCGAGUGCCGUCGGCGAUCUUUUCUUCGCUGAAAUUACAUGUUUGAAGGAUGGCGAGUUGGAGGAAUAUGUGCUCAGCUGUAUAUGUGUUGUUACGCCAGAAGCUAACGGCGAGUACUGUGGAUGUGGAGAUGAUGUAAAGCACCCCACUGGUGUUGAGUACAAAAAGCGGGACAAGUUGCCUGUUCGGCGCAAUGGUUGUAGGCAAAUGUCAGAAGAAUUAUUCAAUGAGUUUAUUGUUGUUCGUGAUGAGGAUUGGCUGGAUGCAGAGGAGGCCAGGGUGAGACGAGAGUUUAGGAUGAGCAACAAAGGAGAUGGCCAGGGAAUGAGGGGCAGAUACGUCGUACCGGCAAAACGGUAG